UACGUAGGGGGCAAGCGUUGUCCGGAAUCAUUGGGCGUAAAGAGCGCGUAGGCGGCCCUGUAAGUCCGCUGUGAAAGUCAAGGGCUCAACCCUUGAAUGCCGGUGGAUACUGCAGGGCUAGAGUCCGGAAGAGGCGAGUGGAAUUCCUGGUGUAGCGGUGAAAUGCGCAGAUAUCAGGAGGAACACCGGUGGCGAAGGCGGCAUCCUGGACCAAUAUUGACGCUGAGGAGCGAAAGCCAGGGGAGCAAACGGG
rnacentral:rRNA from 1 species